rnacentral:rRNA from 1 species
UAACACGUGGGUAACCUGCCUUAUAGUGGGGGAUAGCCUUUCGAAAGGAAGAUUAAUACCGCAUAAGAUUGUAGUAUCGCAUGAUAUAGCAAUUAAAGGAGCAAUCCGCUAUAAGAUGGACCCGCGUCGCAUUAGCUAGUUGGUGAGGUAAUGGCUCACCAAGGCGACGAUGCGUAGCCGACCUGAGAGGGUGAUCGGCACAUUGGGACUGAGACACGGCCCAGACUCCUACGGGAGGCAGCAUG